AUCACUCAGGCCAGCCUAGAUUCAACGUGUGGUAACACCUCAUGUGGGAGGAAUCACUGGGUCCGUCUUGGAGGCUGGUAUAAUUAUUGUGGAUUUCUCUGCAUGAGCCACCAAACAUUCCAUUGCUCCCAAGAACCCAGAAUGUCCUGGAGAGUGCACAUGCCGACAAGAGGAUUCAUGUCAUGCUGUUGUCCAAGUGAGACCUUGACCUUGGGGAUGCAGUAAGAAAUCAUUUGACUGAAGUUUGACUCUCAAAAGUGUCCCAAAUUUUGGCUGCAGCUCAGAAGCAAGUUUGUCCAAGAGAGCAGGAGGAGAAUUCAUCACCAGUGUUGAUCCCCAUUGAUCUAUGUCAAGCCUCAGGUACCAGCUAAAUUUAAGAGCAGACAGAAGAAUCUAAGGAUAAGGGACCACAAGAGCACUGGCCUUACAAGCUGCCUAACCGCUCUGAAACUGCUACGUGUACGGAAGCCCAAACCAGCCCAAGGGACAAGAUCCUAUGCAGAAGCACUGCAACUGCACCUUGAGAAAUGUCCAGCCAAAUGUCAAGCUGCUCCAGUCCUGUUUCCAUCACUGUUUCAGCUCCAACCACUCUCUGGUUGCAAUUGCAUGAGACAUCCCCAGCCAGUAGCACCCAGCUGAGUCCUUCUUGAAUUUCUAACUCACAAAAGUUAUGAGAGAUGAUAAAAUGAUUGUUGCUUAAGUCACUAAGUUGUGGGGUGAUUCAUCACAAAACAAAGAAUAACUUGUAACAUCAUCCUUUAUUAUUUCCUACCUCCACUCCCCGGUUCCGCUUCCAAUCUGAAUUCUUCAAGUGCAGUCUACAAAUUCAGUCCUUUUCAGUCGGUAUGAACAUUAUACUAUAAACUGAAGCAUCUGCAAAAGCUAAUCACAAGGUCUUAGUAUCAUUUUCUGCUCUCUUCAUCAAGAAAUAAAUAACCCUAGU